UUGGGUUAUGUUUGUAGUGUUUAGAAGACGUCACUAUAACAAAGCAUUGAUGAUAAUGCUUUCCUUCACUCGGAAGGAAUUGCUACUUCUAUAUUCGAAACCGUACGUUAACACUUGGCUCCAUUCGAUCAAUAUCCAGCUGAGAACUUCCACUCAGUGUUAAGAAGAACCAAGGAGACCGAUACAGCCGAUGAAAUUGCAUCCAAGGCAAAGAAAUUGAUACCUGUAAACAUGAGCUGCGUUCCUUUCAAUCAGUAUUUGUGUCACCUAGAAAAUUUAAGUUUAGUUCAAAAAUAAUUAAUAAAUUAAAAGCAAAGGCUGCUGAAUUCCUCACGUGCACCCUCAAGUUUGAAUCCCUUUUUACACACCCUAACAUGGCAAUUCGACAACCCAGAACCCACCAACAACCUAAACAUACCACCACGUGGAAACGUCCCAACCUGUUUGGCGAGAAGAUUAUCACCAAUCGAGUGCUCCCGCUGGGGUUCACAUCAGUGUAAAACUCACCAAACCCAAGCAGGUAAAUAGAAAACAAACGAGGGGGGGCUUCAGUGGUGAACAAUUUCAAUUUAACCCAAUGCAAGUACUGUACACUUAAAGUAACACACAGGCAAACCAAUUGCUGCAAUUGGUGUGCCUGCAAGUAAUAAAUAAUGCUUUUAAAAAUCUUCAAUUUCAAAUGAGGCAGUAAAUUGGUAGGCAAAUCUUUAAAUAAUAUUCUGUGAUUAUUGUAAACUAUGUACCAGUCAACAUAAAUCCCCGCCUGCUUAAAUCUAGGAAAUGUGGGGGCCAUUGGGCAAAGAAGUGUCACAAAAACAAAACCAGAUAUUUAUACAAUCCAGCAAUUUUGAUUAUGCAGUGAUUAGAAGUAAAAACUGUCAAAUUCUGGGUUGAGGGAGGUGGUAAUUUACAUUGAUUGGUACUAUACACUUACUAAUGGGAUGCCAUGGAGUCAGGUGAACAGCUGCCAGUUCCGCUGAAGUGAUUCAAGACAUUGUCCAAACACGUUCUAGAGAUUAUGAGUGCUGUUUUAACUUUGCUAUACACACUCAUAUUUUGAAACAAUUUGGCAAAGGACGUACUGACUAAUACAUGUAACAUAAAUAUAAAAUAUAAGUCUUACUUUAAAAUUUUCAUCAUAAAAAAUGCGAUAUGCCUGCCUGCAAAAAGGUUAAUCCAUUUUGGAACGUUUUCCGUGGUUGUGGACAUUCGUUCCACAUCGAGUGCAUCCUGCCCAACAUCAGCAAUUGCCCAGUUUGUCCAGCAACGUUGUUGGCAAAUGUUGAAGCUCUUGGAAGACAGCGAAUAACGCUGUGUUUGCUUCGGCGACUCGCUUUGAAGAGGACGAAAGCGAUGAAGAAAGUGAGGCAAUCGAUGACGAUGACGCUGAAGACUAACCAGAAGACGAACAGGACGAAAGCUGAUUGGCCAACAUUAUUUAUCCUGGUUAGCAAGAUAUCUUCAUCGUCUGACAAAUCAUCUUGUUCACUAUCCGCAUGUUCUUUUGGGGGAAUGUCACGCAUGCGCACUUCUUUGCUGCGAAAAAUUGCGAUGAGCUGUUUGCCGAACACUAUAUAGAGAUUUUUGUCACGAAUGACAGAAAAUAUCAAACAUGCUUGAUAUUUGCUGUUUACGACACAAGUGUCAAAAAUCCUGAAUAUUUUCCCCACACACUAUGAUUUUUGUCGCACAUAAUUGGUCACGAA
rnacentral:lncRNA from 1 species